ACCAAGGAUCAUAUGGUCAAGGCUUAGAUGGGAUGGUUGCCUCGGACUCUUGCUUGCUUUUCUGCUGUUCAAACUUAUGAAUCGCGGUCUGAAAGUUUGUUUGUCCCUCCAACAGCUCUCAUGGUGUUGAAAUAAUCCCCAAAAACAAAUGCUGACAAGCUUCCAGCUACUACCAGAUUCUUGGUCUUAGGUGCAAGGCUACUGAAUCCAGCCAUCUUGUAACCGAAACUUGUAGCAGAAAAUGUGUUAUACUGCCAAAAUUGCAGAAGUACAAAACAUGCUUCCAUGGAAGCGAAUUAUAGCACCAGAUUCAAAUUCUUUCAUUGGCAAAAAUGGAAAAUAUUACAGGAGGUAUUCUCUAAUGCCAAUGAAGAUAUUACCCGAUUGAAUUUUACCCAUGGGAGAAACAGAUCUCACUAAUCCUGAAACUUCAUGCAAUUAAACUCAGAAAUGUUUUCAAUAGUUUCUCUCCCUCACAAGUACACUACUAUCAUCAGCUCUACACCUGCACUGUUAUUUUUCUCUUUCACUAAUCUAGCUCUCCUCUCUCUUAAUCUCCUUCAUCAACCAUCAGUACAUUGAAGAAAAAGAAAGGACCUUGAUAUUCAACAUGAAACGUAUGUUUUUCUUCAACAAUGCACCUGCUAGCAACAUGUAAAAAUACCUUGAAAGUCGACACUGAAAAAAAAGAGGCCCUACUGAUCAGUCUAGCUUGUGGAAUAAGGGCCCGUUUGUUUACGCGGCUGCAGCUGCGUUUUAAUUAAAACGCAGUCUGCAGCCGUUUGGUAACAAUCCAUACACAGUUUACUGUGUAUGGACCCCACAUGUUUUUUGCGUCUGUGACGCAGAAAAGAAGAAGCAGCAUUUUGCUGCUUUGUGUUUACUGUGCAUGCUAAUUGCACUGUACUGUACAGUGCAAUUAGCAGCAAUUCACUGCAUUGUUCGUGAAUUGCACUGUUCACGUGAACAGUGCAAUUCACUUGCACUGUUCACGUGGACAGUUUUUUUUUUUUUUUUUUCAAUUGUGUUAAGUUUUUUAAUAUUUUUUUUAUAAAAAAACUAGUUUAGAUUAAAUUAAAUUCACUUGCACUAUGAUGUUAACAAUAUUUUUUUAAAAAAAAAUUAGUAUAAAGUGAAUUAAAUUUACUCGCACUGUAAUAUCAAUUUUAUACCAGAUAAUAUUUUAUCUAAUUUUAUUACACGUAUAAAAACUAUAGUUCUUAUCGAAUGAAUUUUGUACGUAAUAGAAUUAUAAAUUAUUUAAUAGAAUAAUAAAAAAUAUUUUAUAUAAAGUAUUAUUUAUUUCAUGAUGUAAUAGGAAUAAUUAAUUCUACAAUAUUUAAAUGUAAACCAUCAAUAUUAAUAUAUAUUUGUAAAUUAUUUUAUAACCUUAAUUUCAAAAGCAUUCUUAACCAAACAUAUUAAACUAUUUCAACCUCAAUUUCAACCACAGUUUUAACCAAACACCUAUUUUUUCAAACCAACCUCAAUUAAAAGUACUUUUUAUAAAACAACUUUUUUCAAACCACAACCACAAUAGCUACCGCAAUACCAAACACACACUAAACAAGAAAGACAAAGACCCUACUUGGUAAAGAAAUAGUUUGUUCUUUCAACACGUAUCAUUGCUCACACACACAUACAUGUCCUUUCAAAUUGUUUUCCGAAUUUUCGAAAGAGCUGAAAAGGGAAAGGGCCCAGGUGUCAUUAUGGGCUUGAUAAUGGAAACUGGUUUCAAGGAUAUGAUGUAAUGGGUUAUCGGGCUUUGAAGGUCGAAGAAGAAGAGAUUAGCUUAUAGUCCAAGAACUCCUACAAAAAACAAAAGUUCUUUGUAUGAUUUAGGGAAAUCUUUCAAUGUUUAAGAUAUAAUAAAUGAAGAUGUGUGUUGUUCAUUUCAGAUAUAAUAAAUGAAGAUGAUAAAUAUAGAAGACAUGGAGUGGUAGGAUUCCUAAUUAUAAUAACCUAGACUCAACUUGGGGGAGAUGAGUUCAAGAUUGCUUAACUCGGAUCCAUGAUAUAUGUUUGACGUGAAGGGUUCAUGGUUGGGGAGACUUUAACCUAACAUUUAUACAAUAAAAAAUUAGAGCUAGUACCUAGUGAAAUAAUUUAUAAGCAAAUUUGUGUUUUUUUUUCUUAGUAAUUGCGAUAUUUUUUUUUAUUAGCUCUGUAUUUAAAUUAAAUUUUAAGUUAACUAUCUACAUAUAAAUUGAUAUAUUUACAAGAAUUUGUUCGUGUUAAGUUGUAGUUUUAACCUAAAAUCAUAAUCAAGACUCCUUUUUGGGUCCCAUUUGUCUUCUCUCGAUCCUAUUAAUGUUCAGAAUCUAUUAACCAAUUUGUUAAUCAUUAUAAAGGCUAUUAGAUUAGCAAACAACAAUAUCAAAACCUAAACAUGAAGAGUUGUUCAACUAGUCAGGUCUUGAGUUUGCUUUCUAAUGAUCACGAGUUCGAGUACUCUCAGAGCCAUUAAAGACUUACAUGGUCAUUAACUUCAGGGCUCGUGAGAUUAUUCGAGGUACGUGCAAGCUGACCUGAACAUCCAUAUUAAUAAAAAAAAUAUCAAAACCUAUCUCUAUGUUCAACACGUAGUGUGGUAGAUAUAUUAGGCGACCUUUAAGUUGUUCAUAUUCCUUGUAUGGCAUUGUGGCCUAAAUAAUAGCAGCUAAGAUUUAUUUUUUUAAUUAUUUAUUUAUUUUUUAGAUUAUUUUAAUGUGUUGAUAUUAAAAAUAAAAUUAAAAAAAAUAUUAUUUUGAUGCAUUUUUAUGCAAAAAGUACUUGAAAAACAAUUGUUACAAUACUCCAAGCACUUGUUAGAGGCAGACUAGCGAUCCACGCAGCCCAUGAACUUAUCUAUUUUUUAAUAUAAAAAAUUAUUAAAUCGACGCAAAUAUUUUUCAAAAAGUAAAAAAAAAAAAGAUUUGGAUCAUUGAGUCGAUUAAAUUUUAUAAACUUAGCUAAAAAAAGGUAAAAAAAAAUGAAAAAAAACUAACAAUGAAAAACAAGUCAAAAAACUUGACUCGAGCUCAUCCAUGUUAGCAUGUCAAAUAUGCGAUUUGGUCGUGAUACUAAGGUAUAAACAUGUCAGAAGUAAAUUGAAUAAAAUAAUGAAGUUAAACUAAGUUAACCCGUUAAUCCUAUGAUAAUGAGUAUAAGAUUGAGAUAACUUCAUAUAAAAGAAAGCGAAAAAAAAAACACAAAGACCAAUUCUCAAUCAAUCAAAUAUUGAAAAAUUAAAUAAUUUUUUUUUUUAAAAAAUUAAAUGUUGAAGGAUCUUCUUUGAUAAUGAAAAAAAAACUAAUUGAGAACACAAUAACCCCGUAUAAAGUACAAUGGAAAAAAAAUUCCAAAACACAAUUUCUAAAUAAAAUAUUGAAGGAAAAAAUUAAAGAAAAAUUAUAAUCCAAAACAGAAAAAAAAAACCCGAUCCGAGUCCACCCAGGUAAGCAUGCAAAAUUUAUGACCUAGUUAUGUUAUUGAGGUAACUUCAUCGAAUGUAAAUUAAAUAAAACUAUGAAAUUUAAUUAUCAAACAGUCCAAUUAAUGUUGAAGAGUGAGAUAACACUGUUUAUUUUCAAAAUCUGUGAGAAACUCAAUUGAAAAUAAAAAAUAAAUAACAAUUCCCAAUCUUGAAUAAAAUAAGUGAUGAAAGAUGAAACUUAAAAAAAAAAAUUAAAAAAGAAAAAAGAAAAAAACAAGAAAACCCAGAUAAAUAUCUUAAACCUGAGUUAAUCUCUUAAAAUUGCAACUUGUGAAAUCCUAGAUCCGAGCUUAAUCAAGAAGCUCAAUUCCUAACAAAUUUAAUGUUGAAAGAUAAAACUGGAAAACAUAUCAAUUUAAAAAAAAAUUACAAAGUAAAAACAAUAGUAAUUAAAAAAAACAAUUAUCAAAUUUGAUAGGAAAAAAAAGUAUAAAAUGAGAAGGAAAAUACUAAAAAUGAGGUGAGAAAGAGUAUGUAAAUUUUUUUAAAAAAACAAAUACUACAAGAACUUUUCUUUCAACCCCUUUUUUUAUAGUGAAUUUUGAAAUUUAAAAUGUUAAAGAAUUUAUUAUGAUCAUAAUAAGAAUUAAUUUUUACCAUAAUUAAUCAUUAAUUAGCCACUAUAAAUCAAUCAUAAUUUUUUUGUUGAAAAAAUUGUUUAAAUUUUUGAAGGGUUAAUCAAACCUUAAAAAGAAGAACCGAUCUUCAAGAAAUCUUCGUAUAAAUUCUAAAGGAUCCUAAAUUGUUUAAAAAGAUCGUUGAGAUAACUACAAAAUUUUAAAAUUAUUGUUUUCCCUACAUUUAUGUGUUCCAAAAGACCUAACAAUUACAAGAAAAAAAAGCUAAAAUGCAUCUAUAAAACUAAGUGACCGAAAAUAUAUUUCACUGUUAAUUUGAAAAUUAAAAUGAUGCUUUUGCCCUUCUAUAAAAACUAACAAAGCUUAUAAUGGGAGGUAAAACUAUUUUUUUCAGCGGAUUUAUUAGACGUUACAAAAUUAAAUGGGGAUAAAUUAGUCAAUGCCUUUUUUUAGCUCAAUAAAAUGAGUUUGUUGUUUUUAAAAGAAAUAAAUAUAUAUAUCUUUUGUCCAGGGUAUCGUUGUCUUUUCAAUAUUAAUUAUAUAGUAAAAUUAUUUCGAUACUUUCCAGGGACUUGAAAGAAAAAAAACUAUCACGAGGGCUUUUUAUACUUUUCCUUUAUUGAGGCAAAGUAUAUAUAAAAAAAACUAUUAUAAAUUAUAAAUUGCUAUUACUUUUCAGACUAUAAGACGGACAUCAAUUACUUCAAGAAACCAAAGCAAUCAAAAUAUUGUCCUAGUCGCAAACGGAAGACGAGAUCCCUAUAUAUUCACUCAAGCAGCCUUACAAUUCUCUAUCCACAAACAAUUCCUUCCCCGUGCUCCGUGGUCUCUAGUCCUCACCGAUCUUUCUUCUUUCAACCCCUUUUGUUGCAUAAACAUGGCCCGUUCUGUGAUUUUUCUGCCCGCCAUCUUUCUUUCUUUCUGCACGUUGUCAUGCAUAGCACAACAACAACCAUGCACCGCCUAUAAAUUUUCAAACAACAAACAGUUCUCUUCUUGCAGCCACUUGCCUGUUUUGAGCUCCUCUCUUCACUGGAACUACCAUCCAUUAUCCAGCAGAGUUGAGGUUGCCUUCAGGCAUAUUGGCGUGACCGAUCGCAGAUGGAUUGCUUGGGCAAUCAAUCCAACUUCAGGAGGGAUGAUUGGUUCCCAAGCAAUCGUUUCUUUUCAGAGAACGGAUGGAAGUCUUGCAGUCUAUACUUCGCCUAUAACAAGUUAUGGAACGCGAUUGGAACAAGGAAAUCUUAGCUUUCCUGUCUCGGACUUGUCUGCUACUAAUCAGAACAAUGAGAUGAUAAUCUAUGCAAGCUUAGAGCUCCAAGGAAACAUCAGCACAGUCAAUCAUCUCUGGCAAGUAGGCUCAAUGUCUGAAAACACUCCAAUGAUGCAUAAUGUUGCUCCAUCCAGUCCCAACGUUAAAUCCAUGGGGAGUUUGGACUUCCUUUCAGGAAGGAUUAAAGCGACAAGAAGUUCUUCAACAACACUGAAAAAUGUCCAUGGAAUAUUGAACACAGUAAGCUGGGGUAUUCUAAUGCCUGUUGGGGCCGUCAUUGCAAGAUACUUGAAAAGGUUCGAAUCUGCAGGCCCUUUAUGGUUCUACUUGCAUGUCAGCUGUCAACUGCUGGCCUAUAUUCUUGGUGGUCUAUCUGGAUUUGGGACUGGAAUAUUUCUUGGCAUAAGGUCUCAUGGAAUUGAACAUAGCUGUCACAAAAUCAUCGGCAUUGUCCUCUUCUGUCUUGCAACAGCGCAGGUGUUUGGUGGUCUGGUCAGACCUGACAAAGAUAGCAAGUAUCGUCCCUUCUUCAACUGGUUCCACUUCCUGGCGGGUUGCUCAACACUUAUCCUAAGCAUAUUCAACAUAUACAAAGGAUUUGACAUAUUGCACGCCGCAAGAUUUUGGAGGCUUACCUACAGUGGUAUGAUACUAACUUUGCUACUGGUCAUGCUACUAUUGGAAAUAUGCACAAGAUGGUGCCUGCAGAUAACUAAGCGUUCGAUGUCAAAUACCGUGGACAAAAACACAUCCACUGUCACUGUAGUGGCUGCAAUGGACGUUUAGAUCUGGGAUGCGUAAUGCUGCAUUGGAACAUGCAAUUAAGUAAAAGAGAAACUUGUCUGCAGUUGGUCAAGGUGCGCUACUAGUGGAGGAGGUUCUGAUGGAAAAUAUUUGAUCUACACUGUUUUUAAUUAGCCAAAAAGUAGUUUUUCUUUUUAAUUUUCAUUGUUUAACUGUAAUUGAUUCACAACUUCCAUUUAUAUUGAAUAAUUAUUAAUUGAAUCCCUUCAUACUGAUUCUAUUAAGCUUGGGAUCACUAUUUGUUUUUCCUACUCUGCUAUCCCAUGCUGUACUGAUCUUCUAUGUUGGACAUCCUCAUCAAAGUCAUCUUUAUUGUAUUGCUCGUGUGGUGGUGCCCUUUAAUUAUUUUUUUGGAGAAUACAUUUCCACUUGAGGAAUGUGCUUAAUACAGGGUUAGAGAACGUAGAGAAUUUAGCUUAUUGGUAUUGUUUAGCAGAUUAAGUAAUGAAAUGAAGAGUCAGGACGUUCGAUUUUGGCAUUUCCCACUGUGCAUAGCCUACCUACGGCUCAACUGACACUGGAGAGGGGUGAGAGCAGUAGAGUUCUACAAGUGAAACUGCGUGGCAUUAUGGAACAGCUGAAACAAGUAGCGGCAAAUAACAUAUUUGAGCUUGAAUGUAGGAACAUUGUCAUUGAAGAUUAAGACUUUAUAGUUACUCUGCUUUCACAUAACUACGCUUGCUAAGCAAAAUAAUAACCAAAAACAUCAGCAAUCAUGUAAAUGGACUUGCAGUUCUAUAUAGCAGUAUCAUAUACAAUUUAUUCUAUAGACAUCGACUCCCGGAAAAAAUGUGUACAAAUUUGUUUUCUGUCAAAUAAAGGGAAGGUAGAAUAGGCUAGAGUUAAACCUGCUACCCACUCCCAAUUGGUAUAGAACCGCCUUCCCUGAUAUAACCAAUUGUCAUAAAUUAUUUUGAAGGGAAAAAUAUACAAUAUUUUACAACAAAAGAAUGCAAAAUUGAAGAGUUAAGCAACCAAAGCAAUCAUCAUUCUGAUGACCUUAUUUGUAUCAUGCACUCAAAUAUUUUCCAGGCAAAUGACCACUGGCAUGCGAAUUCAGAUUAAAGUUACUCUCCCAUGUUUUCAUUAUCAUGCUGAUCAAGUACAGUAAAAGUGCAAAAUCAAAAGUAGAAACAGCACAUUCACAAAUUAACCAUUCUCUUGUUUCACAAAUCAAAAGGAUUUCUGGUUACAAUAACCUAGACUCCACUUGGAGGAGAUGAGUUCAAGAUUGCUUAACUGGAAUCCAUGAUAUAUGUUUGACGUGUAGGGUUCAUGGUUGGGGAGACUUUAACCUAAGUAAUAAUAAAUUAGAGCUAGUACCUAAUGAAAUAAUUUAUAAGCAAAUUUGUUUAUUUUUUUUCUUAGUAAUUAUGAUUUUUUUUUAUUAGCUCUGUAUUUAAAUUAAAUCUUAAAUUAACUAUCUACAUAUAAAUUAAUUUAUUCACAAGAAUUUGUUCGUGUUAUGUUGUAGUUUUAACCUAAAAUCAUAAUCAAGAUUUUUUUUUGGGUCUCAUUUGUCUUGUCUCCAUUUUAUUAAUGUUCAGAAUCUAUUAAUUAAUUUGUUAAUCAUUAUAAAGGCUAUUAGACUAGCAAACAACAAUAUCAAAACCUAUCUCUACGUUCAACACGUAGUCUGGUAGAAAGAUUAGGCGACCAUUAUGUUAUUUAUAUCCCUUGCAUGUUAUUGCUGGCUAAAUAGAUAUGAGAUAAAAUUUAUUUUUUGUUUUUAAUUUAUUUUAAUAUAUUUUUAAGUAAAAAAACACUUUAAAAACAACUAUUACCACACUUCAAAUACUUAUCAGAGGCAAACUAGUGGUUCACGCGGCCCACAAGUUGUUCUAAUUUUUUUUUAUAUAAAAAAAACAUUAAAUCGAUAUAAGAUGAAAAACACUUUAAAAAAUAAAAUAUAAGAUUUGGGUCAUUGACUUGACUGAAUUUUAUAAACUUAUCUAAAAAUAUAGUAAAUAAAAUGAAAAACAAGUCAAGAAACUCAACUCGAGCUCAUCCAGGUUAAUAUGUCAAAUAUGUGACUUGGCCAUGAUAUUGAGGUAUAAACCCAUCAAAAGUAAAUUGAAUAAAAUCAUGAAGUCAAACUAGGUUGACCCGCUAAUCCCGCGAUCAUGAGCAUAAGAUUGUGAUAAUUCCAUAGAAAGGAAAGUGAAAAAAAAACAUAAAGACCAAUUCUCAAUCAAUCAAAUGUUGCAGGAUAAAAUUGAUUUUUUUUUGUAAAAAUUAAAUGUUGAAGGAUCUUCUCUGAUAAUGAAUAAAAAAACUAAUUAAGAACACAAUAACCUCGUAGAAAGUACAAUGAAAAAAAAAUCCAAAACUCAAUUUCCAAACAAAAUAUUAAAUGAAGAAAUUGAAGAAAAAAUAUAAUUAAAAAAAAAACCCUAACCUGAGUCCUCCUGGGUUACCAUGCAAAAUUUGUGACCUAGUUGUGUUAUUGAUGUAACCUUGUCGAAAAAAUUUGAAUAAAACUAUAAAAUUUAAAUAUCAAACAACCCAAUUAAUGUUGAAGAAAACAACCCAAUUAAUGUUGAAGAGUGAGACAACAUUGAUUAUUUUCAAAAUCAAUGAGAAACUCAAUAGAAGAUAAAAAAAAAUAACAGAACUCAAUCUUUAUUAAAUAAAUGAUGAAGGAUGAAAUUGAAAAAAAAAGGUUAAAAAAAGGAAAAAAAACUAAGCGAACCCUAAUGAAUCUCUUAAACUUGGUUUAAUCUCUCAAAAUUAUAACUUGAGAAAUCCUAAAUCUAAGCUUAAUCAAAAACCUCAGUUCCCAACUAAUUUAAUGUUGAAAGAUAAAAUUGGAAAAAAUAUCAAUUUAAAAUUUUUAACAAUGUAAAAACAAUAGUAAUUAAAAGAACAAUUAUCAAAUUUGAUAGGAAAACAAAAGAUAAAAUGAGACGGAUAAUACUAAAAAUGAGGUGAUGAAGAGUGGAAAAUUCUAAAAAAAAACACUGUAAAAACUCUUCCUUCAACCCCUUUUUUAUAAUGAAUUUUGAAAGUUAAAUGAUUAAAGAAUUUAUUAUGAUCAUAAUAAGAAUUAAUUUUCACCAUUAUCAUUUUUUAAUUAAUCACCAUAAAUCAAUUAUAAUUUUUUGGUUGAAAAAAUUGUUCAUAUUUUUUAAUGGUUGAUCUUCAAGUAAUAUUUGCAUAAAUUCUGAAGAGUCCUAAAUUAUUUAAAGAGAUCCCCUACAAAAUUUCAAAAUUAUUGUUUUCACUAUGAUUAUGUGUUUUGAAAACAAAAAAAUUAUAUAAAAAAACCUAAAAUUCAUCAAUAAAACACUUUAAAUCAAGAUAUUUUUCAUUGUUCAUUGGAACGUUAAAAUAAAGCUUUUGCCCUUCUAAAAAAUCUAAAAAUUGGAAGGCAAAAUUAUCCUUUUCAAUGAAUUCAUUAGGUGUUCCAAAAUUAAUUAGAGAUAAAUUGAUCAACAUAUAUUUUUAGUACAAUAAAAUGAGUUUGUUGCCCCUAAAAGCACAAAAAUAUAUAUCUUUUGUCUGGGGACUUCAUUUUCUUUUUAAUAUUGUACACACAAUAAAAUUAUAUUGAUACUUUUAAUAACAAAAAAAAUUAAACUACCAUCCAGGACUUUUUAUACUUUUCCUUUAUUGAGGCAAAGUAAAAAAAGAAAAAGAAAAAACUAUUUAAAAUAAUAAAUUGCAUCCUAAUCCGAUUAGAAAAAAAGUAUACACCGCCUACUGAAAUAUAUCUCUAUUGCUUUUCAGACUAUAAGACGGACAUUAAUUACUUCAAGAAACCAAAGCAAUCAAAAUAUUUUUCCGAGUCACAAACGGAAGACGAGAUCCCUAUAUAUUCACUCAACCAGCCUUACAAUUCUCUAUCCAAAAACAAUUCCUUCCCCGUGCUCCGUGGUCUCUAGUCCUCACCGAUCUUUCUUCUUUCAACCCCUUUUGUUGCAUAAACAUGGCCCGUUCUGUGAUUUUUCUGCCCGCCAUCUUUCUUUCUUUCUGCACAUUGUCAUGCAUAGCACAACAACAACCAUGCACAGCCUAUAAAUUUUCAAACAACAAACUGUUCUCUUCUUGCAGCGACUUGCCUGUUUUGAGCUCCUCUCUUCACUGGAACUACCAUCCAUUAUCCAGCAGAGUUGAGGUUGCCUUCAGGCAUACUGGCGUGACCGAUCGCAGAUGGAUUGCUUGGGCUAUCAAUCCAACUUCAGGAGGGAUGAUUGGUUCCCAAGCAAUCGUUUCUUUUCCAAGAAUGGAUGGAAGUCUUGCGGUCUAUACUUCGCCUAUAACAAGUUAUGGAACGCGAUUGGAACAAGGAAAUCUUAGCUUUCCUGUCUCGGACUUGUCCGCUACUAAUCAGAACAAUGAGAUGAUAAUCUAUGCAAGCUUAGAGCUCCAUGGAAACAUCAGCACAGUCAAUCAUCUCUGGCAAGUAGGCCCAAUGUCUGAAAACACUCCAAUGAUGCAUAGUGUUGCUCCAUCCAGUCCCAACGUUAAAUCCAUGGGGAGUUUGGAAUUCCUUUCAGGAUGGAUUAAAGCGACAAGAAGUCCUUCAACAACACUGAAAAAUGUCCAUGGAAUAUUGAACACGGUAGGCUGGGGUAUUCUAAUGCCUGUUGGGGCCGUCAUUGCCAGAUACUUGAAAAGGUUCGAAUCUGCAGGCCCUUUAUGGUUCUACUUGCAUGUCAGCUGUCAACUGCUGGCCUAUAUUCUUGGUGGUCUGUCUGGAUUUGGGACUGGAAUAUUUCUUGGCAUAAGGUCUCAUGGUAUCGAACAUAGCUGUCACAAAAUCAUCGGCAUUGUCCUCUUCUGUCUUGCAACAGCGCAGGUGUUCGGUGGUCUGGUCAGACCUGACAAAGAUAGCAAGUGUAACAGUGUUAAACGUGCAUGGGAUGCACACUUCGGCAGGCUGUCCAAAACAGGGCCUAGGGGUGCUGGCAGCCACGCCAACAGUGGGAGAAAUCGACAGCGCAGAUUUAUGCGGCUGAAGGUUCGUCAAAGGAAAAUUGGCAGCGCAGAUUGUUGACGAACAUUGGCUUGACGAUGGAAUGUCCAAGCCAGGCAAGAAAACUCGUCAAGGGCAUAGGCAGACGAGAAUGGGGGCUGUCGAGGAAUUCGGCAGCGAAGACAUUGGCAGCCUGCACGCAGAUGCGAAUUCGGCAGCGAAGACAUUGGCAGCCUGCACGCAGAUACGAAUUCGGCAGCGCGCAGCGGCUUGUGCAAGUUAGGGGCUCGACUUGGUACGAUCUAAAACUUGGAUGAAGGACUGUCCAAGGCAUACAAAUGACUCAAUAGCUGACGCAGCAAAACAGGCAGUUGGGACUUCAGCCGUGGGCACAGUUGGAGUUACGUAGGCAGAAAGUUUCAGACUUGUCUUCGGCCAUUUCGGCUGCCGAUGGAUUGGCAGAUUUUGGAGCAGGCGCUAGCAAAGGGAAUGCUGGAGCAUCUUCUGAUUCGUACCCACUGAUGGACAGGUAUGAAAUGAAAAAGAAGAAGAAAGGGCUUGGUGGAGGAGAACCUAAACAGGCUGAUGGCAAUGGGAAGUCAGAAGCCAAGGGCAAGGAAAAGGUCUCGAAAUCAAGUUCGGGCUGUUUUAUUUGCGAGGGGAAACACUUCGCAAGAGACUGCCCGCUGAGAGCACAACUUAGUGCUAUUUCCGUGGAGAAGGAUGGAGAAGGAACAGCAUACGGAAAUCCUAUACGUGUGCUCAACACUAAGUAAAAGAGUUAGUGGAAUGGGGCCAGCCUAGUCGAUGAGGACUUAGGCAGGGCCAAACUGCCUUGGGCGAGGCAGACUUGGGGGAGUUUCGUAACUUUGACGAUGGACAGAUCAUGGUUUAACUCUAGGCGUGAGGAUGCGCCAACGAAAAACACACUGCAUAGAAUUCGGCAGCGAUGGACAGCGGCAACCUUGCAUGGACAGAGGUGAAUUCGGCAGGAAGAGUUGAUUGCUCUACGACGAACAAGUAAGCAAUAUUUAAAUUUUAUUACUUGCAAGUGGAAUACGGAACAGUUGAGGAAUUAUGGGUUCGUAUGGGAGUUCAUAUGAUUCUUUGAUGGGGGUUUUGUAUGGCUGUAUUUUGUGAAGAAAGGGACGGAUUUCUUGGGUGCUAGGGGUGGCAUCUAAACUUUGCGAAACAGGCUUGCGAGUAUGAUGUGUUUGAUAUUUGUUGAAAACUAACGAGCCAAAACAGAAUGUUGUCGCAGCUCAGUUUUGAAACAGGUUGACGAAAUUCAGUGGACUGAAUUGUUGUUGAAUGUGGGCAAAGCUAGAGGUUUCGUGGGGAGAAACAUGGACUGUGACGAGGAACAGAUGCGGUGCAAGGGUACUUCGAAUCUGUCCGACGAGGGCGUCGGGUUCUUUUGGUGGGGGUGGUUUGUAACAGUGUUAAACGUGCAUGGGAUGCACACUUCGGCAGGCUGUCCAAAACAGGGCCUAGGGGUGCUGGCAGCCAUGCCAACAGUGGGAGAAAUCGGCAGCGCAGAUUUAUGCGGCUGAAGGUUCGUCAAAGGAAAAUCGGCAGCGCAGAUUGUUGACAAACAUUGGCUUGACGAUGGAAUGUCCAAGCCAGGCAGGAAAACUCGUCAAGGGCAUAGGCAGACGAGAAUGGGGGCUGUCGAGGAAUUCGGCAUCGAAGACAUUGGCAGCCUGCACGCAGAUGCGAAUUCGGCAGCGCAAGAAUUGGCAGCCUGCACGCAGAUACGAAUUCGGCAGCGCGCAGCGGCUUGUGCAAGUCAGGGGCUCGACUUGGCACGAUUGUGCAAGUCAGGGGCUCGACUUGGCACGAUCUAAAACUUGGCAGUUGACGCAGCAAAACAAGUAGUUGGGACUGCCUUGUGGACAUGCAGAACGUGGGUGAAGUGGCAGCUUCAUAGGGGCAGAACGUGGGUGAAGUGGCAGCAUCAUGGGGGCAGAACGUGGGAGCAUAACUGGGCUCUCCAAGCUGCUGAGAUCGUGGGAUCAUGCCCCAUCACUUGCUGGAAAAUAGGCCACUAAGAUCAUGGAGAUCAUGGGGGAGAAAGUGCCCCACUAUGUCCUUAAAAAUAGGAGAUCAUGGGUGAGCCUUGCAGCUCACAUGCUUGUCUAUAAAUAGUGGCUGCAGCUCUUGGUUAUGUAUGUAUGUAGAGCACGAGAUAGAGAGAGUAGCUUGGUGUAGCAUGCAAUCUUUGUGCAUAGCAAACAUUUGGAUUUGUGUAAAGUUUCCUUUGUUUACGAGAUCAAUAAAGGUUGGGAAAGAGUUCCUAUAAAGCUUGUUGUGCACUUUGUUUAUCCUAUUCUUCUUGUGUAUUCCGCUUGUCUUCUAACUUGGGAAAGUGGGGAAACCUCUCGGGUGAGGGAAACACUUAGUUACUAGGCAAACACGAGUGGGAUUGGCGAGGGAAGGCUGAGUCUAGUGAGGGACUAGGCUGCCGCACGGGUUUAUUCGCGGAGCGAAAAAUUACCCCGUGACAGCAAGUAUCGUCCCUUCUUCAACUGUUUCCACUUCCUGGCGGGUUGCUCAACACUUAUCCUAAGCAUAUUCAACAUAUACAAAGGAUUUGACAUAUUGCACGCUGCAAGAUUUUGGAGGCUCACCUACAGUGGUAUAAUACUAACUUUGCUACUGGUCACGCUACUAUUGGAAAUAUGCACAAGAUGGUGCCUGCCGAUAACUAAGCGUUCGAUGUCAAAUACUGUGGACAAAAACACAUCCACUGUCGCUGCAGUGGCUGCAAUGGAUGUUUAGAUUUGGGAUGCGUAAUGCUGCAUUGGAACAUGCGAUUAAGUAAAAGAGAAACUUGUCUGCAGCUGGUCAAGGUGCGCUACUAGUGGAGGAGGUUCUGAUGGAAAAUAUUUGAUCUACACUGUUUUUAAUUAGCCAAAAAGUAGUUUUUCUUUUUAAUUUUCAUUGUUUAACUGUAAUUGAUGCACAACUUCCAUUUAUAUUGAAUAAUUAUUAAUUGAAUCCCUUGAUACUGAUUCUAUUAAGCUUGGGAUCCCUAUUUGUUUUUCCUACGUACUCUGCUAUCCCAUGCGGUACUGAUCUUCUAUGUUGGACAUCCUCAUCAAAGUUAUCUUCAUUGUAAUGCUCGUGUGGUGGUGCCCUUUAAUAUUUUUUUUGGAGAAUAGAUUUCCACUUGAGUAAUGUGAUUAAUACAGGGUUAGAGAAGGUAGCUUAGUGGUAUUGUUUAGCAGAUUAAGUAAUGAAAUGAAGAGUCAGGGUGUUGUACGACGGAAGCAAGAGGAUGUCUUUGAUGGAUUUCCUUUGACUUUCCUUGGUAUUAAACCCGUUCUUUUGUGGUAUUAGAGCCAGGAAAAUUGGCACCAAGAUAUUGUUGAGGGAGGAAUCCAGUGGUUAUGGGGCUGGGAUGAAGAGUAAGGAUCCAUGUCUGGCAUGACUUUGCGGCUCGCACCAUCUCCAUGGUCUCAAGAAACCAAUUAAAAUGUGUUAGCUUUAUCGUCAUUGGAUUAGUCUACACUCUAACCUGAAUUCAUCAAGCAAUGUUUCAUGGGGCAUCCAAUUUGAAAGGAAAGGGGAUUCAUUACAGAGAUUUUGGCAUUUCCCACUGUGCAUAGCCUACCAACGCCUCAACUGGCACUAGAGAGGAGCGCGAGCAGUAGAGUUCUACUAGUGAAACUUCGUGGCAUUAUGGAACAGCUGAAACAAGUAAGCGGCAAAGAACAUAUUUGAGUUUGAAUCUUGGAACAUUCUCAUUGAAGAUUAAGACUUUAUAGUUACUCUGCUUCACAUGACCAUGCUUGCUAAGCAAAAUAAGAACCGAGAUAAAAGUAGAAACAUCAGCAAAUCAUGUAAAUGGACUUGCAGUUCUAUACAGCAGUAUCAUAUACAAUUUAUUCAAUACACAUGGACUCCAGGAGAAAAUGUGUACAAAUUUGUUUUCUGUCAAAUGAAGGGAAGGAAGAAGAGGCUAGAGUUAAACCUGCUAACCACUCCCAAUUGGUAUAGAACCGCCUUCCCUGAUAUAACCAAUUAGUCAUAAAUUAUUUUUAAGGGAAAAUAUACAAUAUUUUACAACAAAAGACUGCAAAAUUGAAGAGUUAAGCAACAAAAGCAAUCACCAUUCUGACGACCUUAUUUGUAUCAUGUGCUCAAAUAUUUUCCACGAAAAUGACCGCUGACAUGCGAAUUCACAUUAUUGUUACUCUCCCAUGUUUUCAUUAUCAUGCCGAUCAACUACAGUAAAAGUGCAAAAUCAAAAGUAGAAACAGUGAUAAGAGAAUUUUUAGCAUGUAUAUUUUCCAUUAUUCAUGUUUGAUUUUUAAAUAUUUUGGAUAUAUUGCACAAGAAAAUUAGAAUGUUGAAACUCUUUUUGAACAAUUUACCUCGUGAGAAAUUAAUGUGUUUUCAGAUAUUAGGUUACUGAACAGGCAGAGCCCGGCAGUAAAACUGAACAGUGAUUCAUUAUGUGCUGCAAAAAAAGCUAUACAACUUAGUUCCAUAUGUUCAUCACCAUUUUCAAAUAGCUGAGAUGAAGUUUUACAAAAUAUAUGAAGGGCAUAUAACUCAGUUUUGUUGUUUCGAAGCCCAAAAAGCGAGUUGAAAAACAAGGAUUGAACCAGCCCGAAAUUCCUGCACUGCAAAGACUGUUUCGGUUUAUGGCCCUUAUCUCAACGCUCAGAGGUCCAAAAAUUGCAAGAUCAGUGUUGUUGGAAAUAAAAUUUGAUUCUCUACAAUUUCUCCAGAAAUAGAGAUCUUUGAAUUCACACGUUUCCUACCUCAAAUCUGGCCCGCAAUGUCUGAGUAGGAAGGAAUUCAAUGCAGAAAAUGAAACUUUCCUCAUUACUGCAGGGGUAGAAAAGCCACAAUAUAAAAGAAGAGAAACGGGGUCUGCAAACGGAGGAGUGAGACACGUAGAAACCCUAUAACAUAGCAAAGAAAAACAGAGGAGGCGGCACCAACAGGAACAAAAAAGAAUAGAGGCAAAAAUAUUGAAGACCGGGAGGACAGCUAUCUAUUCCUUUGAAAUUCUUUGCUUUUGAGUGAUGUUUAUCGUAUUAAGUUUGUUUCUCUUUAAUUUAAUUAUGGAAUAGAUUUUUAUUCUGGGAUUUUUGAUGUAACCUUACUAUGAAUAUGUGAACAAUUUCUUCGAUUGAAUUAUUACAUUAAGAUGUUGAGUGUUUCAUUCUAUGUGUGAUGCUUGCGUGUGUUUGGCCAACAUCUACAUGAUUUAGAAUUCAAUUUAAAACUGAGAAGUAAUAAUUGUUUUAGUUAUUGUUUGAAAUACCUUAAGAAAUCUAUAGGAUAGAAAUAUCCUAGGAAUUUUUGUAAUCGUUACAGGUUUUACAGUACUUAAUAAAUUUCGACAAGUUCAGAACUUUCAUAGAGUAUAUGAAAUUUAUUUGUCGAAAUAAUUUAUUGAUGCUAGAGAAAGAUUAAUAUUUACAUUAGGAAAACCUAAUUAUCAACAUUAGGAGUAAUUAAUUUAAUCGAGAAAGUUCACAUAAGCAUAGUUACGGUAAGUCAAAAAUUCUAGAACCAGUACAAUUGAAUUCAUUUAUAUUUAAUCAUUUGGUUGUUUGUUUUUUAAUCAUUAAUUUUUUGUUUCAUAAACUAUCUCAUUUGAUUUCUCAAAUAGAUCAUAAUUUAAAAGACUUUGGUAAUUAGUAGUAAUUUUUAUAAAUUCUCAUGGGACGAUACUCUACUCAUCACUUUAUUACUUGUUACGAUUCGUGCACUUGCGAAAUUAACCAACAAACAGCACAUUCACAAAUUAACCAUUCUCUUGUUUCUGAUCACAUUAUUACACCAAGGAUCAUAUGGUCAAGGCUUAGAUGGGAUGGUUGCCUCAGACUCUUCCUUGCUUUUCUGCUGUUCAAACUUAUCAAUAGCAGUCUGAAGUUCGUCUGUCCCUCCAACAGCUCUCAUGGUGUAGAAAUAAACCCCAAAAACAAAUGCUGACAAGCCUCCAGCAACUACCAGAUUCUUGGUCUUAGGUGCAAGGCUACUGAAUCCAGCCAUCUUGUAACCGAAACUUAUAGCAGAAAAUGUGUUAUACUGCCAAAGUUGCAGAAGUAGGACAGGAAAUAUAUUAAUUAAUCUGUUUUUCUAGACAUCUUGUGGCCAACAAAAGAUGCUUCCAUGGAAGGGAAUUAUAGCACCGGAUUCAAAUUCUUUCAUUGGAAAAUAUUACAGGAGGUAUUCUCUACUGCUAAUGAAGAUUUUACCCAAUUGAAUUGCACCCAUGGACUCAACAGAUCUCACUAAUCCUGAAACUUCAUGCAAUUAAACUCAGAAAUGUUUUCAAUAGUUUCUCACCCUCACAAGUACACUACUAUCAUCAGCUCUACACCUGCACUGUUAUUUUUCUCUUUCACUAAUCUAGCUCUCCUCUCUCUUAAUCUCCUUUCCAAUUGUUUUCCGAAUUUUCACUGCCACUCAUGAUUUGAAAAGUUAACCGCACUCUGUUGACAAGCAUAACUUGAGGAAAGAGCUGAAAAGGGGAAAGGCCCAGGUGUCGUUAUGGGCUUGAUAAUGGAAAGUGGUUUCAAGGAUAUGAUGUAAUGGGUUAUUGGGCGAUGAAGGUUGAAGAAGAAGAGAUUAGCUUAUAGUACAAGAACUCCUACAAAAAUAAGUUCUUUGUAUGAUUUAGGGAAAUCUUUCCAUGUUUAAGUCGGUAAAAAUGUUGGAGAAAUGCUGCCUUAAAAGAUGUGUGCUGUUCAUUAGAUAUAAUAUAUGAAGAUGAUAAAUAUAGAAGACAUGGUGUGGUUGGAUUCCUGGUUACAAUAACCUAGACUCAACUUGGGUGAUAUGAGUUCAAGAUUGCUUAAUUCGGAUCCAUGAUAUAUUUUUGUCGUGUGGGGUUCAUGGUUGGGGAGACUUCAACCUAAGCAAUAACAAUUUAGAGCUAGUAAUUAGUGAAAUAUUUAUAAGCAAAUUUGUUUAUUUUUUUCUUAGUAAUUGUGAUUUUUUUAUCAGCUCUGUAUUUAAAUUAAAUUUUAAAUAAACUAUCUACAUAUAAAUUGAUAUAUUCAUAAGAAUUUGUUCGUGUUAAGUUGUAGUUUUAACUUAAAAUCAUAAUCAAAACUUUUUUUUAUCCCAUUUUUGUUGUCUCGAUCUUAUUAAUGUUCAGAAUCUAUUAAUUAAUUUGUUAAUCAUUAUAAAGGCUAUUAGACUAGCAAACAACAAUAUCAAAACCCAUCUCUACGUUCAACACGAAGUGUGGUAGAUAGAUUAAGUCACCUUUAAGUUGUUCGUAUCCCUUAUUUGGCAUUGCGGCCCAGACAAGGUCGGCUAAAAUUUAUUUUUUUAAUUAUUUUAAUAUAAUGAUAUAAAAAAUAAAAAAUAAAAUUAAAAAAUUAAAAAAUAUUAUUUUGAUGUAUUUCUAAGUAAAAAAACACUUGAAAAACAAUUGUCACAACACUUUAAGCACUUAUUAGAGGCAGAUUAACAGUCCGUGCGACCUACGAGUUGAAUCUAAUUUUUUUUAUAUAAAAAAUAUUAAAUUGAUGCAAUUAUUUCUAAAAAAGCAAAAAAAAAAUAUAAGAUUUGUGUCAUUGACUCGAUUGAAUUUUAUAAACUUAGUAAAAAAGGGUAAAUAAAAUGAAACAAAUUGACAAUGAAAAACAAGUCAAAAAACUCGACUCGAGCUCAUCCGGGUUAGCAUGUUAAAUAUGUGACUUGGUUGUGUCACUAAGGUAUAACUUCAUCAAAAGUAAAUUGAAUAAAAUCAUGAAGUCAAACUAGUUUAACCCACUAAUCCCUUGAUCAUGGACAUAAGAUUGAGAUAAUUUCAUAAAAAUAAAAGCGAAAAAAAAACACAAAGACUAAUUUUCAAUCAAUCAAAUAUUGAAAGAUAAAAUUAAAAAAAAUUAUUUUUUAAAAAAUAAAUGUUGAAAGAUCUUCUCUGAUAAUGAAUAAAAAACUAAUUGAGAACACGAUAACCCCGUAGAAAGUACAAUGAAAAAAAAUUCAAAACUCAAUUUCUAAAUAAAAUAUUGAAUGAAGAAAUUAAAGAAAAAAUAUAACCCAAAACAGAUAAAAAAAAACCCUGACCUGAAUUCACCUGGGUUAGCAUGUAAAAUUUGUGAUCUAGUUGUGUUAUUGAGGUAACCUUGUCGAAAGCAAAUCGAAUAAAAUAAUAAAACUUAAUUAUCAAACAAUCUAAUUAAUGUUGAAGAGUGAGAUAACACUGAUUAUUCUCAAAAUCUAUGAGAAAGCCAAUAGAAAAUAAAAAAAAAUAACAAAGUCUAAUUUUCAAUUAAAUAAAUGAUGAAGGAUGAAACUGAAAAAAAAAGCUUAAAAAAAAAUCCAAGCAAACCCUAAAAAAUAUUUUAAACCUAAGUUAAUCUCUUAAAAUUACAACUUAUGAAAUCCUAGAUUUAAGCUUAAUCAAUAAGCUUAAUUCUUAAUUAAUUUAAUGUUGAAAGAUGAAACUGGAAAACAUAUCAAUUUAAAAAUUUUAACAAAAUAGAAACAAUAGUAAUUAAAAAAACAAUUAUCAAAUUUGAUAAGAAAACAAAAGCAUAAAAUGAGAGGAAAAAUUCUAACAAUGAGGUGAUAAAGAGUAUGUAAUUUUUAAAAAAAACACAACAGGAACUUUUCUUUCAACCCUUAUUUUAUAGUGAGUUUUAAAAGUUAAAACGUUAAAGAAUUUAUUAUGAUCAUAAUAAAAAUUAUUUAUUAGUAUUAUCAAUUUUUAAUUUAUCAUUAUAAAUCAAUCACAAUUUUUUUUGUUGAAAAAAUUGUUCAGAUUUUUGAAGGGUUAAUCAAACCGUGGAAAAAAGAACCAAUCUUCAAGUAAUCUUAAUAUAAAUUCUAAAAAGUCCUAAAUUGUUUAAAGAAAUCUUGAGACUCAUACAAAAUUUUAAAAUUAUUAUUUUCACUACAUUUAUGUGUUUUAAAAAACCUAACAAUUAUAAGAAAAAAAAUUUUGAAAGGCAUCAAUAAAACCAAGUGAUCCAAUAGAUAUUACACUGUUCAUUUGAACGACAUUUUUGCUCUUCUAUAAAAACUAACAAAGCUUUCAAUGGGAGGUAAAAUCAUCUUUUUCAGGAGAUCUAUUAGGCGUUACAAAAUUAAUUGGGAAUAAAUUAGUCAACAUACCUUUUUUGGCACAAUAAAAUGAGUUUGUUACGUUUAAAAUAAAAAAAUAAAUUUGUCUAAGGGUAUCAUUAUCUUUUUAAUAUUAUUUUUACAGUAAAAUUAUAUCGACACCCUUAAAAAACAUUAUCACCAGGGCCUUGAAAAAAAAAACUAGCACCAGGCUUUUUAUACUUUUCCUUUAUUGAGGCAAAAUACAAAAAAAAAAAAACUAAUUAAAAUAAUAAAUUGCAUCCUAAUCCGAUUGGAAAAAAAGGAUAGACCGGCUACUGAAAUAUAUCUCUAUUGGUUUUAAGAAUAUAAGACGGACAUUAACUACUUCAAGAAACCAAAGCAAUCGAAGUAUUUUUCCGAGUCGCAAACGGAAGACAAGAUCCCUAUAUAUUCACUCAACCAGCCUUACAAUUCUCUAUCCAAAAACAAUUCCUUCCCCGUGCUCCGUAGUCUCUAGUCAUCACCGAUCUUUCUUCUUUCAACCCCUUUUGUUGCAUAAACAUGGCCCGUUCUGUGAUUUUUCUGGUCGCCAUCUUUCUUUCUUUCUGCAUAUUGUCAUGCAUAGCACAACAACAACCAUGCACGACCUAUAAAUUUUCAAACAACAAACAGUUCUCUUCUUACAGCGACUUGCCUGUUUUGAGCUCCUCUCUUUACUGGAACUACCAUCCAUUAUCCAGCAGAGUUGAGGUUGCCUUCAGGCAUACUGGCGUGACCGGUCGCAGAUGGAUUGCUUGGGCUAUCAAUCCAACUUCAGGAGGGAUGAUUGGUUCCCAAGCAAUCGUUUCUUUUCAGAGAACGGAUGGAAGUCUUGCGGUCUAUACUUCGCCUAUAACAAGUUAUGGAACGCGAUUGGAACAAGGAAAUCUUAGCUUUCCUGUCUUGGAAUUGUCCGCUACUAAUCAGAACAAUGAGAUGAUAAUCUAUGCAAGCUUAGAGCUCCAUGGAAACAUCAGCACAGUCAAUCAUCUCUGGCAAGUAGGCCCAAUGUCUGAAAACACUCUAAUGAUGCAUAGUGUUGCUCCAUCCAGUCCCAACGUCAAAUCCAUGGGGAGUUUGGACUUCCUUUCAGGAAGGAUUAAAGCGACAAGAAGUUCUUCAACAACACUGAAAAAUGUCCAUGGAAUAUUGAACACAGUAAGCUGGGGUAUUCUAAUGCCUGUUGGGGGCGUCAUUGCAAGAUACUUGAAAAGGUUCGAAUCUGCAGGCCCUUUAUGGUUCUACUUGCAUGUCAGCUGUCAACUGCUGGCCUAUAUUCUUGGUGGUCUGUCUGGAUUUGGGACUGGAAUAUUUCUUGGCAUAAGGUCUCAUGGUAUGGAACAUAGCUGUCACAAAAUCAUCGGCAUUGUCCUCUUCUGUCUUGCAACAGCGCAGGUGUUUGGUGGUCUGGUCAGACCUGACAAAGAUAGCAAGUAUCGUCCCUUCUUCAACUGGUUCCACUUCCUUGCGGGUUGCUCAACACUUAUCCUAAGCAUAUUUAACAUAUACAAAGGAUUUGACAUAUUGCACGCCGCAAGAUUUUGGAGGCUUACCUACAGUGGUACAAUACUAACUUUGCUACUGGUCACGCUACUAUUGGAAAUAUGCACAAGAUGGUGCCUGCCGAUAACUAAGCAUUCGAUGUCAAAUACCGUGGACAAAAACACAUCCACUGUCGCUGCAGUAGCUGCAAUGGAGGUUUAGAUUUGGGAUGCGUAAUGCUGCAUUGGAACAUGCGAAAAAGAGGAACUUAUUGCAGGUGGUCAAGGAGCGCUACUAGUGGAGGAGGUUUUGAUGGAAAAUAUUUGAUCUAUACUGUUUUUAAUUAACCAGAAAGUAGUUUUUAUUUUUAAUUUUCUUGUUUAACAACUACCUUUUAUAUUGAAUAAUUAUUAAUUGAAUCCCUUUAUACUGAUUCUAUUAAGCUUGGGAUCACUAUUUGUUUUUCCUACUCUGCUAUCCCAUGCUGUACUGAUCUUUUAUGUUGGACAUCCUCAUCAAAGUUAUCUUUAUAAUGCUCGUGUGGUGGUGCCCUUUAAUAUUUUUUUUCGUAGAAUACAUUUCCACUUGAGGAAUGUGAUUAAUACAGGGUUAGAGAAGGUAGAGAAUUUAGCUUAUUGGUAUUGUUUAGCAGAUUAAGUAAUGAAAUGAAGAGUGAGGGUGUUGGACUAGGAAAGCAAGAGGAUGUAUUUGAUGGAUUCCUUUUGACUUUUCUUGGUAUUAAACCCGUUCUUUUGUGGUAUUAGAGCCAGGAUAGCUGCAUUGCAGAAUCUGACAACGCAGUUGUGAGGAAAAUUGGCACCAGGAUAUUGUUGAGGGAGGAAUGCAGUGGUUAUGGGGCUGGGAUGAAGGGGAUGAUAAUGGGUCAUACAAUUCCGGAAGCUGGGAACAAUGGGGUUUAUAAUAAUGGAACAUUUGAGAUUGAUGUGGAAUGUCAAAAGAUGUAUAAUGAGUUGCCUGACGUUUUGGAGAUCAACAGGAAUUCAGAGUUAUGAGAUAUGUCAUCAAAACCUUGGUAUCAGGAAAAAAAAAAAACAGAGCAAUUUCUUCUAUGGGUUCUUUUGUCUGAUCAGAUCUGAUGGAUUUUGGGGUUUUAAUUCUUUUGUAGUUUUGAUGGAGGUUUAUGUAGGGCUUGAAAGAUUUCAAAAGAAAAGAAGUUCAUAUCUUGAUGUUCAGAUUGCUUCCAAACAGAAAGUUGCUCGGAGUUUGUGUCUUGUUCCUGCAAUUUUUCAAGCGAAAAUGCAACUGGUUGCUGCCAAGAACAAGAAGAGCAAGGAAGAAAAUUGUUGCAACUAGUGGCUACAUGUUGUCUCUUCUUAAUAACGCGGUCCGAUGGCCAUGACAUUAUAAAUACGAUGCUCUAACCUCUGAGCUAAGCGGGCUCACAUAACAGAAAGUGCACAUGCAUAGGAUUUAGUUUGGCUGAGGAUCUGUUAUAUAUUGAAGUUGGGAAGUUCCUUUCCAAAUAUCCCCCUCCAGUACUUGCUGUGUCGUUUAAGUAGCUGUGUUUGGCAGGCACCAUGGAAUUGGUAUCAAAUCAACCAUUUGUCAUGUCUGGCAUGAGUUUGCGGCUCGCACCAUCUCCAUGGUCUCAAGAGACCAGUCAAAAUGUGUUAGCUUUAUUGUUAUUGGAUUAGUCUACACUCUAACGCUGAAUUCAUCAAGCAAUGUCUCAUGGGGCAUCCAAUUUGAAAGGAAAGGGGAUUAGUUACAGAGCUUUUGGCAUUUCCCACUGUGCAUAGCCUACCUACGGCUCAACUGACACUGGAGAGGAGCGAGAGCAGUAGAGUUCUACAAGUGAAACUUCGUGGCAUUAUGGAACAGCUGAAACAAGUAAGCGGAAAAGAACAUAUUUGAGUUUGAAUGUAGGAACAUUCUUAUUGAAGAUUAAGACUUUAUAGUUACUCUGCUUUCAUUUAACUAUGCAAAAUGAGAACCAAGAUAAAAGUAGAAACAUCAGCAAAUCAUGUAAAUGGACUUGCAGUUCUAUACAGCAGUAUCAUAUACAAUUUAUUCAAUAGACAUGGACUCCAGGAAAAAAUGUGUACAAAUUUGUUUCCUGUCAAAUGAAGGGAAGGUAGAAUAGGCUAGAGUUAAACCUGCUACCCACUCCCAAUUGGUAUAGGACCGCCUUCGCUGAUAUAACCAAUUUGUCAUAAAUUAUUUUUAAGGGAAAAUAUACAAUAUUUUACAACAAAAGACUGCAAAAUUGAAGAGUUAAGCAAAAAAAGCAAUCACCAUUCUGACGACCUUAUUUGUAUCAUGUGCUCAAAUAUUUUCCACGAAAAUGACCGCUGACAUGCGAAUUCAGAUUAUUGUUACUCUCCCAUGUUUUCAUUAUCAUGCCGAUCAAGUACAGUAAAAGUGCAAAAUCAAAAGUAGAAACAGCACAUUCACAAAUUAACCAUUCUCUUGUUUCUGAUCAUAUUAUUACACCAAGGAUCAUAUGGUCAACCCUUAGAUGGGAUGGCUGCCUCAGACUCUAAUGCCUAUCAAGUACAGUAAAAGUGCAAAAUCAAAAGUAGAAACAGCACAUUCACAAAUUAACCAAUCUCUUGCUUCUGAUCACAUUAUUACACCAAGCAUCAUAUGGUCAAGCCUUAGAUGGGAUGGUUGCCUCAGACUCUUCCUUGCUUUUCUGCUGUUCAAACUUAUCAAUAGCAGUCUGAAGUUCGUCUGUCCCUCCAACAGCUCUCAUGGUGUAGAAAUAAACCCCAAAAACAAAUGCUGACAAGCCUCCAGCAACUACCAGAUUCUUGGUCUUAGGUGCAAGGCUACUGAAUCCAGCCAUCUUGUAACCGAAACUUGUAGCAGAAAAUGUGUUAUACUGCCAAAGUUGCAGAAGUAGGAAAGGAAAUAUAUGAAUUAAUCUGUUUUUCUAGGCAUCUUGUGGCAAACAAAACAUGCUUCCAUGGAAGGGAAUUAUAGCACCGGAUUCAAAUUCUUUCAUUGGAAAAUAUGGAAAAUAUUACAGGAGGUAUUCUCAACUGCUAAUGAAGAUAUUACCCAAUUGAAUUGCACAUUGAAUUGCACCCAUGGACUAAACAAAUCUCACUAAUCCUAAAACUUCAUUGAAUUAAACUCAGAAAUGUUUUCGAUAGUUUCUCUCCCUCACAAGUACACUGCUAUCAUCAGCUCUACACCUGCACUGUUAUUUUUCUGUUUCACUAAUCUAGCUCUCCUCUCUCUUAAUCUCCUUCAUCAACCAUCAGUGCAUUGAAGAAAAAGAAAGGACCUUGAAAUUCAACAUGAAACGUAUUUUUUUCUUCAAAAAUGCACCUGCUAGCAACAUGUAAAAAUACCUUGAAAGUUGACACUGAAAAAAAAAGGCCCUACUGAUCAGUCUAGCUUCUGGAAUAAACAAGAAAGACAAAGGCCCUACUUGGUAAAGAAAUAGUUUGUUCUUUCAACACUUAUCAUUGCUCACACACACAUAUAUGUCCUUUCCAAUUGUUUUCGGAAUUUUCAAUGCACAUAUGAUUUGAUUUCUCAAAAUUUAAAGUUUUCAUUCAACUAUAUGAAUCACCAUUUGACAACCAGAACCCCAAUUCAACUUCUUUCCUUGGCAGAAAUGCAACAUAAACACUCAUUCCUCUUCACAACAAUAGUAAAGUAAUAACUCAUCGGCCUACUAUUAACGAUAAAAAACCCGAUCACACCAUGUAAAAAUCAGGGAAUCCAAAAUUCAAUAAAACACUCAUCAAUCCAACACUAGAAUGACACUUAAUCCACAGUUUGGCACCUCAAACCAGAGAAAAAUGAAGAAACAAAAUCUGGGUUUUGAACAUCAUGUUGACUUUUAACUUCCCAGCAGCUGAAGAUGAAAUUUUACUAAUCCAGACAGCUAAAUCAAACUAAAGUAGAAAAAUAAGCAACCAAACAAAAUACCAUCAAGAAAAUGAAUUCGAACAUCAAUAAGUUACAGCCUUGCAAAUUAAAAA
rnacentral:lncRNA from 1 species